GUUUGUGUAUGUGUGUGUUAGUGUAUGUGUGUGUUAGUGUGUAUGUGUUUGUGUGUGUUAGUGUUUGUGUGUUAGUGUAUGUGUGUGUUAGUGUAUGUAUGUGUGUGUUUGUGUGUGUUAGUGUAUGUGUGUUAGUGUAUGUGUUUGUGUGUUAGUGUAUGUGUGUGUUAGUGUAUGUAUGUGUGUGUUUAUGUGUGUUAGUGUGUGUGUUUGUGUAUGUGUGUUAGUGUGUGUGUUUGUGUAUGUGUGUUAGUGUGUGUGUGUUAGUGUGUGUGUUUGUGUGUUAGUGUAUAUGUGUGUUAGUGUAUGUGUGUGUUAGUGUAUGUGUGUUUGUGUCAACAUGUCUGUGUGUGUGUCAGUAUGUCUGUGUGUGUGUGUGGGUCAGUAUAUAUGUGUGUGUAUAUCUGUGUGUGUCAGUAUGUGUAUGUGUCAGUAUG